GCUUAACACAUGCAAGUCGAACGGUAACAGGACUAGCUUGCUAGUUGCUGACGAGUGGCGGACGGGUGAGGAACGCGUAGGAAUCUACCUUUUAGAGGGGGACAACCAUGGGAAACUAUGGCUAAUACCGCAUAAGCCCGAGAGGGGAAAGGCCGAAAGGUCGCUAAGAGAUGAGCCUGCGUCAGAUUAGCUAGUUGGUGGGGUAAAGGCCUACCAAGGCGAAGAUCUGUAGCUGUUCUGAGAGGAAGAUCAGCCACACUGGGACUGAGACACGGCCCAGACGCCGACGGGAGGCAGCAGGGGGGAAUAUUGCGCAAUGGGGGCAACCCUGACGCAGCCAUACCGCGUGGGCGAUGAAGGUCUUCGGAUUGUAAAGCACUUUCAGUGAGGACGACGAUGACGGUACCCACAGAAGAAGUCACGGCUAACUUCGUGCCAGCCGCCGCAGUAA
rnacentral:rRNA from 1 species